rnacentral:tRNA from 1 species
CGGAGUGUGGAGCAGUCAGGUAGCUCUCCUGUUUUGGGAACAGGUGGUCGCCGGUUCGAAUCCGGCCACUCCGA